CCUGGCACCCAGGACGUCUACUGCCCUUCCUGGUCCCCAUGGGGCCCCACUCUCCAGGCUUGCGCCCAUCACCGCCAACACCCAGAGCCACAACUGGUCCUGGAGAACACUCUCCGGCUUCCCGCUGUGUACCAGCGCCUCCACAGCCCUCACGUGCAACUUGCUCUGCCCAGCCCUCACGUGCAACUUGCUCUGCCCAUCUUUCCCCCUUGGGGACCGAGAGCACUUCUCUGCCCAGAGAUGCCACCAGCCAUGGAGGCCAGGGAAGGACACCACAUGAGGAUUUGAAAUAGCUCAACUGGAAUCCUGUCACCUCCACUAGCUUUGUUCGUAGUGAUGCUUCCUAAGGCCCACUUGACUUCACAUUCCAGGAUGUCUGGCUCUAGGCAAGAAUACUGGAAUGGGUUGCCAUUUCCUCCUCCAAGGGAUCUUCCCAACCCAGAAAUAGAACCUGUGUCCCCUGUCUCCUGCUUGGCAUGUGGAUCAUUACCACUGAGCCACCUGGGAAGCCCUUAGUAUGAGGAGGAAGCCCAGGCCUCGUGGGGAGGCUUACUGAAGCUCGGCCAGCAUACCCAGGUUCAACUGCAGACCUGACAGUGACGUCACCUCCAGAGGAGUCCAGCUCCUAGUGUCAGUAUCAACCCCAACUGAUCUAACUGAGGACCUGUCAGUCAAUCCACGUUUGACAGGACAGAAGAGACUCCGUAUAUCUCCAAGGUGGCCCUUCCAGAAUGUGAAAGCGACCCUCCCAAUGUCAACUUCCUUCCGGCUCUUGGAAUCACCCUUCUACUCUCAGCUUCUCCUCAGUUUUCCUCUGGAUACCACAGGUUUACAACUGAGAUCAGUGUCUUACUGGAGGGCUCCAACUGCACAGAGCACAGACGACUGCCAUCUGCUAUCCACAGUGGGGUGUCUCUUCAGAACCUUUGGAAAAAGGUCGAGGUGAUGCUGUGAGAGCCAGAAGGGCCUCAACUGGAGCAGGAGAAGUGGGUGGGUCG
ensembl:lncRNA